CCCUAUAUUCGGAGUUGAGGGAACAUCCAAGGAAAUUUUUUAAUUACUUUCGGAUGAGUACUACGACCUUCGACGAAUUGAAUGUAAAACUAGAAUUCAAGUUUAUCCAUAAAAAUGUAGUUAGGCUAUCUAUAUCGGCGACCGAACGACUGUGUGUAGCUCUCAGGUAAGUUAAUAAUGUAUAUUACUGAUAGUUAUUGAAUAUUAUUUAUUGCGAUACCUAAUAUUACAUUUUUAACUACAUUAUGGCAACUGAGUGUAGGCAGGAAUGAUCAUAUACUGGUCAGGUGGUUGGCUUGAAGCAGGUGUAUUUGAUUGUGGCGACGAUAUAAUGUCGUAUGCCCCAGGGGAAAUCGUUGGUAUUGAAGUAAAUCCACUUGAUGCAGAUGACGUAGGUUGUUGACAAUAAUAAAUAUUAUUUGGAGGAUAGGGUUCCUGUGUAAUUAUUGCUGCAGGUUGUACUGGGAUUUUUUUUUUAAUUUUAACCAAUAAAUUCAAUACUUCAAUUCGAAAUUGCAGCUUUUGAUCCUGAUUGAAGUUCCGAAAAGUCGGUAAUAAUGAGUCAAAAAGUAUUUGUGUUCAUCACCUAUAGGCUCUUCAGUUUUUUUAAAAAAUUUAACCAGACAUUCUUCUAAUGCAUUUCUUUUUGGAGCCCUUUUUCUCUCAAAAAGUGGUUUCACUCGUUCAGCUUGGACUUUCCCAUCAUCGAUUUCUUUAUCCGAAUGGUCAUCAUCUUCUUGGUUACUUGGCAAGAUAGUAAAAUAAAUUAGCAUACAAUAUGGUGUACCUAUCUAAAUAAACUAAAUACAUGUACAUACCUGCUGUUUUCUUUUCUUUGUCAUCUAAAUCCUUGAAAUUGGGAAUAAUAGCAGCAGCAAUAUCCACCCAAGAUUUUUCCCUAGCGUCUCUGUUUUUAUAAUUUUCAUCGGAAACGUCCCAAAUAUUUUUUUUUCCUCAAUAGUACUAAUCAUCAAUUCUGUGUCGACGAAAUCCAUUGAAUUGAGGGUUGAACAGUUAAAGGAUGGUCCGGCAAGAAUAAUCACAUUAUUAAACCACGAAUACCACGAUACAAAAUACAAAUACACGGAAUGUAAACUGAAGAAAAAAAAUGGAAUUUAGGCAACAGCACGGCUACUACAAAUGCCCCCACUUCCAGCGCGCGUCGUCGCAUGUGAAUGGGUACACUUGCCACCAUGCCCUUACGCCUGGCGUACCUACGUCAGGCGUACGGGCCAGGCGUGGAGUCCGCGCCGUAAAUUUCACGCUGGAGUACACGGGCGCUCGAAUCGCCUGCAUCUGAAACCUACCAAUAGAGUCAAAAUAGAGAGUUUAAGUGCACCAAAUCCUACGUGCCUAAGGAUGCCGCGCCUGUGCAUUUCAUUCAUUUUCACGUUUCGCUUGAAAUUCGGGCUACGGGUGUACGUUAUUCUGCGUUGCUCCACGGGACUAAUUUACUGCACGUACGUAUACGCGGAACGUCCCGAGCAUUUACGAUUCGACUCGAUUUCAGUGCAGAUUAGGUUUUAGGUUAUGUUAUGAUGGGGAUCAUCCCAAACAAAAACAAAGGUGCACAAGUUUUGUAGUUUUAUUAUAUUAGUUUUGGGUUUUGGUUGCUUAGUUAAGUUAAUUUUGUUUGAUUAGUUAUAGUUUGAUUAUUUGUUCUUGCUGCUAAUGACUUAGAUCCUCUGAUAACGUAACCCUCAAUAGUUUCCAGUAAGGGUAAGUUUAGUUUUUAUGUCUCAUGACUUUUCGGGUUUUCAGUUAAGCUGUUUAUGCUCAAUAUAAUAUGUUUCAAUUAAGCUGUUUAUGCUUUCAUCUUAGUUGCCUAGAAGUUGAUGAAGAAAUCUAGUUUAUUUAUCCCAUCCAAUGUAAGAUAUAGCUAUUUUAUUUAAUUUCCUAAAUUUCUAUUACUAAAAAACAAUAGUAAAUGAAAGACAAAGUAAUAAAAAUUAUCCCGCCUGGCACUUGACAAAUGACAAGUCGCUGUCAAUUCUAUCACGUCACGUCAACACGCAGAAAAUAUUUCGCUUAAACUCAUUUCGCAGGACACCUAACGUUAUACUCGUACGUGCGUUAACCUCGUUUAACGUGCGUAAAUCUUGGCUACGUCGUCGCUGCACUUAAACUCUCUAAUGCCAACCGAGGUUCUGGCGUAGCACGUAGGGCGCGUCGUACGCCUCAUGUGAAACGGCACUAAUAGAUAAUGAGGCCUCCUCUCUAGAAAGUCAGUUUAAAUAUAAAUAUAGGCUUACGACUUUUAAAACCAAUUGAAUAGUAGGAAAAAAAUUCAGUAAAAAUAAAUAUUUUUGGUCAUCAAGUGUUUUAAUUCACAUAUAAAUACAUAAUGUAAAAUAGUCAAAACGCUUCAGUAUGUACAGGGUGGCCAUUUUAUUAGAGGACCUUUUUCUCAGAAUCUACAGAGUGUGCAAAAAAAAUUUCUUACAGAAGUGUUUUCGUUUUAAGCGAAUUUUUAAAUUAUUUGAGUUUUAUCAAUACAAGGUAUUUAAAAAGUGCUACACCGACUUUAACACCAAAUUUUAAAUGAGACACUACGAAUAUUUUUAUACUUUUGGGUUUCUUGAGAGAAAUAAAGGUAACUUUCAUAAGAACUACCUAUCCGAAUUUUGUGUAGUUUAGACAGAAAUUAAGGUUUUGUAUUUGUUUUUAGCAAAUUUAUGUCCGCGGCAUACAGUGUUUUGUAAUGCUGGUAAUAAAGACUUUUAAUAAAAUUAGUACCACAACUUAGGAAGGCUACCUCCUAUUGAUCGACGGUGUCCGGGUAUUUUAAUGUAUACAGGUUGUCUAGAGCAAAAAAAGCUAUUUAUCGAUAUACAUAUACAUGUACGUUCUAUACCAAAAUCUCAUAGUUUAGAAAAUACUUGGAAUUUUAUUGGAUUGAUAUAAUUUCAACUCUACAAUAUUGACGCUCCUUGAACAAAUUUUGCUAAUUUAGUAUUUCACCGUCGUAGGCUGUGAAAUAACAUUAGUUAAUAUCCGCGCUUCUCGUAUCCAUAGCUACAGAAUAAUGUUUAAACCACUUCUGUGACAUAAAUUUAUUAUAUUUGAAAAAAAAACAGCAACACAACGCUAACUAAAGUCUAAAGUAAGUUUUCAAUACGCCCUCCAUUUUAAAUAAUACAUGUAGCAUAAACAACUUCUAAAUGUUUUAUAGCAUUGAAUACAAAAUCUGUUUGAUUUAAGUAGGCUACAGCCUCUCUAAUACUUCUUUGCACUUAAUUUACCGUGGUAAGCCUUUGCUUGUAUACAGUAUUCUUUAAUGUUCCCCACAGGAAUUUUGCCCAUUUUGCCCUAUUCAACGGUUGUACUGAUGGUUUAAAAAGUUACUUUAAUUGUAGCUCCUAUGAUGAAGAUCAUCAUUAUCUAUUAGCGGUUGUAUUUCAAUCCUUGCCAUAUCUAAAUAUCUUCUUGAAUUCAAAUUUUCAUCAAAGAAAAUUGAUUCCAUAAUUUUUAAGCGAUGAAUUUCCCACCCCACUUUAACGAAUCGUCUUUCCAGCUUUUUUACUUUUAAAAUCUUUUUGUUAUGUUUUUCACUCCAAUAAUGCAUAUUUUUCCUAUUUAGAAUUAGUGUUGAUGUGAAAAAUUUACGCAUCAGUCUAAAUAAUUUUAUUAAACACAUUUUCAUUGAAAUUCAUGUUCAUUAAGCUAUCACAAAGGUAUGAUCUUCCAUCAUAGUCUCUUUCUUCUAAAUGGUGAGCAGGUAAAAAUUUAAAUGAGUUACGGUUAUUAAUUUUUAAACAAUUUUGAAUCGCGCUUCUUGUGAUAUUUAACUCCAAAGGCGGUUUGCCUGGUGGAGGUUUCGGGUUUAUCCUUGAAAUAUAGAAGAAUUUCUAGCUGCUUUUCUUCUGUUAGAACUCUUCGGGGUCUAUUUUUAGGUCUUGGAAGUAAACUACCAUUAUGUUUGAAUUUUGCAUAGAUUUUGCCAAAUACCUUUUUUUUUCCGAAAUUUGCCGUAACGGAAAUUUUCUUUUAUACUCUGUAAACGCCAAAGCCGGACUUUUGCCUGACUUCUGUUAAAGUCGGUGCAGAACUUUUUGAACACCCUGUAUUAAUAAAACUCUGUUAAAAGGCCACCCUGUACAUUCAGGUUGGGGAAUUACACGUUGAAGGGAGUAACACGGUGCACUGUUGAAUUUUAAAGUGUUAUUAUUUUUUCUUAACUUAUGAUGGCUGUCUUUACAUUUUUCGAAAGAAUAAAUAUUAAUAAAUAAUUAAUGGUUUUUCGGAAGCAAUUCAAUCAUCAAUUCAGAUGCAGUAUAAUGUAGGGAUUUGUUUUCAAUUACAUUUGAACAAAAUAGAUUCGUUGCGAAAUAAACCAUUUUAAAAAUGUUUUUUGAAUUUGAAGACAUCUGUUUGUCUUCAAGUCAUAAAUGUCAUAAAUGCCACACUAAAGUGAAAGAACCUUUUAUCAAAAAGGUUCCGGGGUAAGAAUCCCGAUGUAUUAAAAAAAUGGAUCUGCCGAUUCGGUGCACCGAAGAGUCUCUAGGUCAAAUAGGUGAGAUGAGAACUUCGUCUCCCAUAACAUCUGAAGUAUGGUUGCCGGCCGGGAACCGAUGUUGCCGGGGCGGACUACUUCAGUGAGGUGUGUAGUAGAAUGGAUGUCGUUAAAAUUCACAUAUUCAUUCAUGAUGCCAUCGAUCGGAUAAGAAGGCGGAUUCUCAAUCAUCUUCUCGAGACGUGACGUCUCGAGUUGCUACGAAAUGCGAUUCCCGAUCCAUUUUGUUCUCGCUAGCGAGUCGGGAUCUAUCGAGUUCAUCUGUCAUUUUCGCUCGGGACCUAAGAAGCUGCCGAGAAUGGUAAACGAAGCGAUCUAUUGGUCGAAAAAUCUCCUAUUCCUUUUUUUCGUUGUGUGUGUCUAUCUCUAUCGGAUCGGACAUCGACAACGACAAUCCGUUGCAUAGAGAAAUGAAUAUUAAAUAUACUUUUAAUUACUCUAUGAUCCGUUGUUGGUUCAUGUUCUUGAGCUUGAGUUUGAAUUUUUGAUAUUUUGAUUUUUUGUUUGGGAGUACAAGUACAGAUUAUUUCCAAAUAUUUUUUAAAGUUUUAAAUCGAUCCUUUCCGCACCUUAGGCAGCGUGCAGUUGGAGAAUCCGGUAAGUUUGUUUAUUUAUGCAUAUUAUUAUAGAUUUAUUUUUUUUUUAAUUACCGUAUUUUAAUUUUACUUUAAAUUUACUAAUUUAAAGUAAAAUUUAUUUACUUUAAAUUAGGAACCUGCCAUAUAAUAAUAUUUAUUAAACAGGUACCUAGGAAGAAUGCAAAUACAGCAUGUGGAAGUUUUGGCAGAGUUUAUGGAAGACAACCCUGAAUCUGCAAGGGGUAGACUUUCUGCCUCGAAUGCUAGGGAGAAGUUCAAGGCACUGUGGGGAAAUUUAACCACCAGGUUAAAUCCCUUAGGACUUGGUGUUAGAGAUGUGAAAAAGUGGCAAAAAACAUGGUCUGAUUACAAAAGUAAUUUAAAAAAAAAAGCUGCCAAAAUAAAAAGGUAUCAAGAAGGCACAAGUGGUGGUCCAGCAACCCGUAAGACUUUGUCAGAUUUAGAACAGAGAAUCCUUAACAUUCUGGGCACUAUGUUUUAUGCAGGGAUUGGUGUGGAGGAAAGAAGUAUAAAUGUUAGCAUAACCUUCAACCUCAACAGCUUGUACCACAACCUCAAACCAAUCUAUUACUGAAAUAGAGAAUAAUAAUAAUUAUGAUGCUCAACAGCAGCCUUCGACUUCUGCUGCUAAAAGGGGUAAGGAAAGUGAAGGUCCAUGUGAGCAAGCAUGCCCUAGGCAAGACCAAGACCAUGAUUACUUAUUCUUUGGGAAUCAUAGUGAACCUCCCCCCAAAAAAAAGAAAAAAAGUAAGAAACCAAUGGAAGCAUAUGAAGAAACCAUAGAAUGCUUAAAAAGCAUUGAAAACACUUUAAAAUGUGGUCUUUCAGAAAUAAAUUUGACUUUGAAGGAACGCUUUCAAUCUUUAGGUAAAAGGAACAAUGAAUUACCAUAAAAAAUAAACACAACCAUUAUUUGGUAAUAUAUUAGGUAUAAAAAAUUUGUUAAUUUAGUAUAAGUUUUGUGGCCAAGAGUGCAAUUUUUUUCUUUUUAACACCAUGGGUUAUAUUUUUUUGUGAUUUUUGUUCUAUUCCUAUUUUUUAUUUAUUUUUUAAGUUUAGUUAUUAA